GAUGAACGCUGGCGGCGUGCCUAAUACAUGCAAGUCGAGCGAACGGACGAGAAGCUUGCUCCUUUGACGUUAGCGGCGGACGGGUGAGUAACACGUGGAUAACCUACCUAUAAGACUGGGAUAACUUCGGGAAACCGGAGCUAAUACCGGAUGACAUUUUGAACCGCAUGGUUCAACAGUGAAAGACGGUCUUGCUGUCACUUAUAGAUGGAUCCGCGCUGCAUUAGCUAGUUGGUAAGGUAACGGCUUACCAAGGCAACGAUGCAUAGCCGACCUGAGAGGGUGAUCGGCCACACUGGAACUGAGACACGGUCCAGACUCCUACGGGAGGCAGCAGUAGGGAAUCUUCCGCAAUGGGCGAAAGCCUGACGGAGCAACGCCGCGUGAGUGAUGAAGGUCUUCGGAUCGUAAAACUCUGUUAUUAGGGAAGAACAUAUGUGUAAGUAACUGUGCACAUCUUGACGGUACCUAAUCAGAAAGCCACGGCUAACUACGUG
rnacentral:rRNA from 1 species